rnacentral:misc_RNA from 1 species
CAAUUCUUUUUUGGUGCUCGAUCGUGACGGUUUGCUCGCGCUCUCCGCUGCGCCGCUCUUUCCGUUGCAUAUGUGUGCGGGCGUUAUUGUGCAUGUUUCCGGUGGCCAAAGCAAAGCGACAAACAAAAUUCAAAAGAAAGAAAAAAAAACACUCAAAUAAACUCACAAAGAAUUCCUUAUCGCCAAGGGGGCCAAUGUUCUAAGGUUCUUUCGCCUUGAGAACUUUGAGCUUCCUCUGGCAAAGGAGAUUAUAAUGUACAAAUAAUGUUGCAAUAACCAGUUGAAACCAAUGGAAUACCGAAUCUUGCUAAUUAGCAAGGACAUCUGUUCACAUCUUACCGGGCAGCAUUAGAUCCUUUUUAUAACUCUAAUACUGUCAGGUAAAGAUGUCGUCCGUGUCCUU